rnacentral:rRNA from 1 species
UGGGGAAUAUUGCGCAAUGGGGGAAACCCUGACGCAGCAACGCCGCGUGGGUGAAGAAGGCCUUCGGGUCGUAAAGCCCUUUCGGACGGGACGAAAGUUCCGCGGGGAUAAUCCGCGGAGCCUGACGGUACCGUAGGAAGAAGCACCGGCUAACUCCGUGCCAGCAGCCGCGGUAAUACGGAGGGUGCAAGCGUUGUUCGGAAUUACUGGGCGUAAAGCGCGUGUAGGCGGCCUUGUAAGUCAGAUGUGAAAGCCCUCGGCUCAACCGGGGAAGUGCAUCUGAAACGGCAAGGCUCGAGUACGGGAGAGGGAGGCGGAAUUCCCAGUGUAGAGGUGAAAUUCGUAGAUAUUGGGAGGAACACCGGUGGCGAAAGCGGCCUCCUGGACCGAUACUGACGCUGAGACGCGAAAGCGUGGGGAGCAAACAGGAUUAGAUACCCUGGUAGUCCACGCGGUAAACGAUGGGCACUAGGUGUGGGGGGUAUCCACUCCUCCCGUGCCGCAGCUAACGCAUUAAGUGCCCCGCCUGGGGAGUACGGCCGCAAGGCUA